AUCCUCAGACACCUAUUAUGAUAAUCAAGAGUCACAAGAUUCCUCAUAUGAUAGUAAUCCCAAUGCCUGUGAUGAUAAUGACACUACCUACAGUGCCAAUGGUCAGCGUUCUGGUUGUGCAAAGAAGAAAGUUGUUGUUGCCCGAGACACAUCACAUGUUCUAAGCAGAAGGGCCUAUGAUGUACAGAAUGCCUCUUCUCCUUCAAAUAGCAGCCACUCUGACAUGCAGG